AAACACUCCAUAAGCUUCAGUCACUCAUUGGCUUCGAUCGAGCACGAUUUCAAUCUUGUUGCCGUGGUUCAGGGCUCAACAAAUCUCAACAAUAUCCCUGAAGUUGUAGGUAUGCUGGGAAGAAGAAAAAAAAACUAUUCA